GAUUUCUCAGAUCAGUUUCAACUCUAACCUGCAGUUCUUGAUAGACUUGUGAUAGUCCUGGGGGAAUUGGGGCACAGUGAGAUGGAUGCAGAGGGAACAGAAAUACCUCCACAGUCAAGGAUUGCAGGAUUUCAGGAGCGCAGGGUCAGACUCCUGCUUUCAAGUUGGAAGAAUACAACCAGGAUUUACUGGGACCAUGUUUGCACUGAGACGGCCUAUUUAUAGAAGAGGAGAGAAUGUGAUUUUUGGCAUGAGAGCAGUAGAGCCUUCACCUGCCAUUGAUCUACAGACCGAGGUGUUGAAGGAUCGAAUAUCAAGUACACACAGUGUUGCUAACUCUUGGAAUUUUAUCACAAGUCUCCUGGAUUCAUAUGACUAGCAUGCACAUUUCUCUUCCUUAUACUUACUGAGCAUGGAGCUGGGAAAAGGAUUCACAUGGUCGGCUGAAGGUGAUGACACGUUUGCUCCUGCAUCAAAUUGAUUUUUUUGUUGGAGGAGGCAGUGACAAAUGUGAUAUUCAGCUAUCAGGUGUAUGACUUGCAUGGAUG